GGUGGAGGAGGGAGACGGGUGUG
rnacentral:piRNA from 1 species